UGGGGAAUAUUGCACAAUGGGCGCAAGCCUGAUGCAGCCAUCCCGCGUGUGCGAUGAAGGCCUUCGGGUUGUAAAGCACUUUUGGCAGGAAAGAAACGUCGCGGGUUAAUACCCCGCGAAACUGACGGUACCUGCAGAAUAAGCACCGGCUAACUACGUGCCAGCAGCCGCGGUAAUACGUAGGGUGCAAGCGUUAAUCGGAAUUACUGGGCGUAAAGCGUGCGCAGGCGGUUCGGAAAGAAAGAUGUGAAAUCCCAGAGCUUAACUUUGGAACUGCAUUUUUAACUACCGGGCUAGAGUGUGUCAGAGGGAGGUGGAAUUCCGCGUGUAGCAGUGAAAUGCGUAGAUAUGCGGAGGAACACCGAUGGCGAAGGCAGCCUCCUGGGAUAACACUGACGCUCAUGCACGAAAGCGUGGGGAGCAAACAGGAUUAGAUACCCUGGUAGUCCACGCCCUAAACGAUGUCAACUAGCUGUUGGGCCUUCGGGCCUUGGUAGCGCAGCUAACGCGUGAAGUUGACCGCCUGGGGAGUACGGUCGCAAGAUUAAAAGCUCAAAUGAAUUGA
rnacentral:rRNA from 1 species